rfam:Orchesella cincta Ocin01_Sc0019, whole genome shotgun sequence.
ACAGGUACGGUGACAUGGUUCCAAAAACCAUAGCUGGCAAAGUUGUUGGAGGAGUUUGCUCCCUGAGCGGUGUACUUGUCAUCGCCCUUCCAGUCCCUGUCAUAGUCUCCAAU